GUGUUGUAAGUGUUUAAGGGCGCAUGGUGGAUGCCUUGGCACUGGGAGCCGAUGAAGGACGUUGGAGGCUGCGAUAUGCCUCGGGGAGCUGCCAACCGAGCGUUGAUCCGAGGAUGUCCGAAUGGGGAAACCCGGCACGAGUGAUGUCGUGUCACCCUGCACUGAAUACAUAGGUGUAGGGAGGGAACGCGGGGAAGUGAAACAUCUCAGUACCCGUAGGAAGAGAAAACAAAAUGUGAUUCCGUGAGUAGUGGCGAGCGAAAGCGGAGGAUGGCUAAACCGUAUGCAUGUGAUACCGGGUAGGGGUUGUGUGUGCGGGGUUGUGGGACCUGUUUUUCCAGUUCUACCUGGCUGGAGGGUAGUGAGAAAAUGUCGUGGUUAGCGGAAGUGGUUUGGGAUGACCUGCCGUAGACGGUGAGAGCCCGGUACGUGAAAACCUGACAUCUACCUUGAACGGUGUUCCCGAGUAGCAGCGGGCCCGUGAAAUCUGCUGUGAAUCUGCCGGGACCACCCGGUAAGCCUGAAUACUUCCCAGUGACCGAUAGCGGAUUAGUACCGUGAGGGAAUGGUGAAAAGUACCCCGGGAGGGGAGUGAAAUAGUACCUGAAACCGUGCGCUUACAAUCCGUCAGAGCCUUCGACUUUGUCGUGGGGUGAUGGCGUGCCUUUUGAAGAAUGAGCCUGCGAGUCAGGGACAUGUCGCGAGGUUAACCCGUGUGGGGUAGCCGCAGCGAAAGCGAGUCUGAAUAGGGCGUAUCCAAUCCGUAGGGGUUGGUGUAGUGGUGUGUUCUGGACCCGAAGCGGAGUGAUCUACCCAUGGCCAGGGUGAAGCGCGGGUAAGACCGCGUGGAGGCCCGAACCCACUUAGGUUGAAGACUGAGGGGAUGAGCUGUGGGUAGGGGUGAAAGGCCAAUCAAACUCCGUGAUAGCUGGUUCUCCCCGAAAUGCAUUUAGGUGCAGCGUCACAUGUUUCUUGUUGGAGGUAGAGCUACUGGAUGGCCGAUGGGCCCCACAGGGUUACUGACGUCAGCCAAACUCCGAAUGCCGACAAGUCCAAGAGUGUGGCAGUGAGACGGCGGGGGAUAAGCUCCGUGCGUCGAGAGGGAAACAGCCCAGAUCGCCGGCUAAGGCCCCUAAGCGUGUACUAAGUGGAAAAGGAUGUGCAGUCGCGAAGACAACCAGGAGGUUGGCUUAGAAGCAGCCACCCUUGAAAGAGUGCGUAAUAGCUCACUGGUCAAGUGAUUGUGCGCCGAUAAUGUAGCGGGGCUCAAGUACACCGCCGAAGCCGCGGCAACGAUUUAUCGUUGGGUAGGGGAGCGUCCUGCAUCCGGUGAAGCAGCAGAGUGAUCUAGCUGUGGAGGGUGUGGGAGUGAGAAUGCAGGCAUGAGUAGCGAAUAGGCAAGUGAGAACCUUGCCCGCCGAAAGACCAAGGGUUCCUGGGCCAGGCCAGUCCUCCCAGGGUGAGUCGGGACCUAAGGCGAGGCCGACAGGCGUAGUCGAUGGACAACGGGUUGAUAUUCCCGUACCCGUGUAUGUGCGUCCCUGAUGAAUCCAUUGUGCUAACCAUCCAAAACCGUCGUGACUGAUCCCUUCGGGGUGAGGCGUUGACGGGGCUGCGUGGGACCCCGGUGGGUAGUAGUCAAGCGAUGGGGUGACGCAGGAAGGUAGCCGUACCAGUCAGUGGUUGUACUGGGGUAAGCCUGUAGGGAGAAACGUAGGCAAAUCCGCGUUUCACAUAUCCUGAGAGGUGAUGCAUAGCCGUUUGAGGCGAAUUCGGUGAUCCUAUGCUGCCAAGAAAAGCCUCUAGCGAGGACAUACACGGCCCGUACCCCAAACCAACACAGGUGGUCAGGUAGAGAAUACUAAGGCGUACGAGUGAACUAUGGUUAAGGAACUCGGCAAAAUGCCCCCGUAACUUCGGGAGAAGGGGGACCCCCAUAUCGUCAAGGCUCUUGCGGCCGGCAGCGGGAGGGGGUGGCACAAACCAGUGAGAAGCGACUGUUUACUAAAAACACAGGUCCGUGCGAAGUCGCAAGACGAUGUAUACGGACUGACGCCUGCCCGGUGCUGGAAGGUUAAGAGGACCUGUUAACCCUUCGGGGUGAAGCAGAGAAUUUAAGCCCCAGUAAACGGCGGUGGUAACUAUAACCAUCCUAAGGUAGCGAAAUUCCUUGUCGGGUAAGUUCCGACCUGCACGAAUGGCGUAACGACUUCUCAACUGUCUCAACCAUAGACUCGGCGAAAUUGCACUACGAGUAAAGAUGCUCGUUACGCGCGGCAGGACGAA
rnacentral:rRNA from 1 species